GGGGUUCGGCCGCUCCAAGUUCGGCGGUGCCGUGGCUCGGAGGCGCUUUGGAGGCGUUGAUGGCAUCGCUGGGUUCGGUUUGCAGCGGGUGUCCGCUAAGGGAUAUGGUGUUCUUCCUGAGCGGCACGGUUCUCGGUGCCGGUAGAGAUGAUAAAGGGUACUGAGAAAAUACGUCUCCCUUAGAGUCCCGCGGAAAGGUUCUCAGUGCGCUCUCUAUCAAGGAAGUGUUGGAAGUUAGUGUUUUGGGAAAGAAACGGCAGUUCCACAGAACAUUCCAUUUCACAGAGGCUCUGGGAACGAUUCAUGUUUGCUAUGAGUCUUGAUAAAUUGGAGAAGAGCCCAAGAGAAAUUUUUCAUCCCUUGAUAUAAAAGGAUUUAUUGGUUCUGGAAGAACAAGAGGGAAGUACAAGCCUAACUACUUCUAGCUCACAGGCCCGUCCGGUGAACCCAGGGAUCGGUGAAUUUUAACUUUGGAGUCCCCUAUGCUAAGGAUGCUCAGCUUACAGGUGAUGAAAUGUUCAGUAAUGUAUUUGCUGCAGCUCUGCUUACCCAAGCUUUGGGUUCCUUCUGUCCCACUGGGAGUUGCCCAGUUUGGUUGCAUCUGGUGAAAUUCACCCUGAGACCUUACAGAACUAGCUCCAACUACGUGAGAGCCAUUUGCAGUUCUCUCCAGACACCUGGAGAAUGGGUGACGUUUCUGAGGAUCCGGCGAGCGUGCUUCUGUCAAAACUCAGUCUGUGAAAUUCCUGGGGAAAACCCUUCUGUGUCCUGAAGGGUUCAAACUCUGGUGAGGAUCCAGUUAUCAGGGGCUCACCUGGAUGGUUCCAGCUCCCAAAGGGAAAGACUCUCGUAUCCUUGUCGUCGGGCUCGGUGCUGUCCAAGAAGAUACGGGGACUAAAAAAAUCAUAAGAAGCAAAAUAUGACUGCAGGGAAAAGAAGCUGGAGAGAACAGAAGACUCAUCACGGCGGGACAGCGUGAGGACUGAAAGUGUAAGAAGAUGUGGAGGGAAACAGAGAAUCUGACAGGAGCAUCGGAGGGACGAGUGCAGGAAUUUUGCUUUUUGCUUGGAUGUAAACUCAGGAGUUGAGAGGAAUUUGGGAGUGAGAAGGGACAUCUCAGAAGGAGAAGAAGAAAAAGAGGUUGUUGUUGUUGUUACAGUCCUGGCAAAAUCUUUUGUUCUAGCUAAUAAAAGAAGUUAGUUUAAAAAACAAAAAGGAAAAAAUGUAGUGUUUUUUUUUUCCUUCACUAUGAUAUUCAUUGGUGGUAUAUGGUGUGUUGUUUCAUUUCUUGGUAUUAUUAACUCUGUGUAAAUUGUUUUUUGAGUGAAGCUGACUUUCUGGAUGGGUUGGUUUGUAUUUGAGGCAGGAUUAAUUUCAGUAGGGUUCUUUCAUAGAUUUCUGAUGGGUAUUACUGGGAUUUUGGUUUUGUUUACUGUAUGUAUAAACCUAGAGCUUUGGUAGGGCCAGCUGGGCUGCUGGAGUUUUGGGUGUGAAUUUAUUAGAUGGCUUUUGUUAGAUGCAGUUUUUAAUUU